AUUGAACGCUGGCGGAAUGCUUUACACAUGCAAGUCGAACGGCAGCACGGGGGCAACCCUGGUGGCGAGUGGCGAACGGGUGAGUAAUACAUCGGAACGUGCCCAGUCGUGGGGGAUAACGUAGCGAAAGCUACGCUAAUACCGCAUACGAUCUAUGGAUGAAAGCGGGGGACCGUAAGGCCUCGCGCGAUUGGAGCGGCCGAUGGCAGAUUAGGUAGUUGGUGGGGUAAAGGCUCACCAAGCCUGCGAUCUGUAGCUGGUCUGAGAGGACGACCAGCCACACUGGGACUGAGACACGGCCCAGACUCCUACGGGAGGCAGCAGUGGGGAAUUUUGGACAAUGGGCGCAAGCCUGAUCCAGCCAUUCCGCGUGCAGGAUGAAGGCCUUCGGGUUGUAAACUGCUUUUGUACGGAACGAAAAGGCUCUUUCUAAUACAGAGGGCUCAUGACGGUACCGUAAGAAUAAGCACCGGCUAACUACGUGCCAGCCGCCGCAGUAAAAC
rnacentral:rRNA from 1 species